UUGAAACAGGAGACUCCAUAAAAGAGAGCACGGACCGUACAACUCAGCUUACCAUUACAAGAGUGUCAUUUCUUCGUAUACAAACUAACUCCACAACCACAAAAACCACACUUAUCUAUCACAUAACCUAUUAAUUAACUAAAACCGACUAACACCUUACGCAUGCAGUGCUACCUAUUAUAUAUAUACUAGUGAAAUACCCGCGCGAUGCUGCGGAUAUAAAAAUAUUUUUAUAAUAAUUUUUAGUUUUUUAUUUUUUAUAUAAUUUUAUAAGUCUAAUUAUUAAUUAAAUAAAGUUAUAUGAAAAUAAUUUAAUAGCGAUGCUGCGAAUAUAAAAAUAUUUUUAUAAUAACCUUUAGUUUUUUAUUUUUUAUAUAAUUUUAUAAGUCUAAUUAUUAAUUAAAUAAAGUUAUAUAAAAAGAGUAAUGCUUCUAUACUUUUUUUUUUUGGUUGCCGUUCAUUCACGCGUAUUCAACCGCUCAGAUUUGAUUUUUUUUAAAUUGUGACCUGCAAUAGCAGGUCACUUUAGGAGAGGUACCGGUUACCAGGUACCUUAAAAAAGGAUAUUUUUGUCUUUUAAUACAUGGGCAAUUUAGUCAUUUUACAUCUACUAUAUUUUCAAAAUUUUUAAUUUUUCUUUGUUUCCUUUUUCUCCCUCUAUCUUUCCUUUCAUAAUUUGGCAUUUCAUAUAAAGAAAAUUUCAAAUGAUUUGACAAUAUGAUCAUUGAAUUUAAACUUUAAAUAGUAAUAUGAAAUUCCUCUAAUUUAAAUUUCACUUUUAAAUUUAAAUUUUAAUAUUAUAUUCAAAUUUAUAUUUUAAAAAUUUAAGUUUCAUAUAAAUACUUUGAAAUAUGGUAAACAGAAAUAAUUAUUUAAAUUCUAGUCUUCUGGUUUAGGUUUGGUUUUGGGUUUUGAAAAAUUGGUCAGUUUUGAAUUUGGAUAUGGAUUUUUUAAAUCCGUCGAGUUCGGAAAUAAGUUUUGUGAUUGUUAGUCAGAUUCGAAUUCAAAUUCCCAACUAUUUUUUUCUCACCAAUAAUUCUAAUCUUUUUAAUUUAUAUGUUUAAAAUUAUAUUUAAAAUAUUUAUUA
rnacentral:lncRNA from 1 species